rnacentral:rRNA from 1 species
CAGUCGAACGCUUCUUUUUCCNCCGGAGCUUGCUCCACCGGAAAAAGAGGAGUGGCGAACGGGUGAGUAACACGUGGGUAACCUGCCCAUCAGAAGGGGAUAACACUUGGAAACAGGUGCUAAUACCGUAUAACAAUCAAAACCGCAUGGUUUUGAUUUGAAAGGCGCUUUCGGGUGUCGCUGAUGGAUGGACCCGCGGUGCAUUAGCUAGUUGGUGAGGUAACGGCUCACCAAGGCCACGAUGCAUAGCCGACCUGAGAGGGUGAUCGGCCACAUUGGGACUGAGACACGGCCCAAACUCCUACGGGAGGCAGCAGUAGGGAAUCUUCGGCAAUGGACGAAAGUCUGACCGAGCAACGCCGCGUGAGUGAAGAAGGUUUUCGGAUCGUAAAACUCUGUUGUUAGAGAAGAACAAGGAUGAGAGUAACUGUUCAUCCCUUGACGGUAUCUAACCAGAAAGCCACGGCUAACUACGUGCCAGCAGCCGCGGUAAUACGUAGGUGGCAAGCGUUGUCCGGAUUUAUUGGGCGUAAAGCGAGCGCAGGCGGUUUCUUAAGUCUGAUGUGAAAGCCCCCGGCUCAACCGGGGAGGGUCAUUGGAAACUGGGAGACUUGAGUGCAGAAGAGGAGAGUGGAAUUCCAUGUGUAGCGGUGAAAUGCGUAGAUAUAUGGAGGAACACCAGUGGCGAAGGCGGCUCUCUGGUCUGUAACUGACGCUGAGGCUCGAAAGCGUGGGGAGCAAACAGGAUUAGAUACCCUGGUAGUCCACGCCGUAAACGAUGAGUGCUAAGUGUUGGAGGGUUUCCGCCCUUCAGUGCUGCAGCUAACGCAUUAAGCACUCCGCC